rnacentral:snRNA from 1 species
AUACUUACCUGGCAGGGGAGAUACCAUGAUCACAAAAGUGAUUUUCCCGAGGCGAGACUUAUCCAUUGCUCUCCAGAUAUGCUGACCUCUGCGAUUUCCCCAAAUGUGGGAAACUCGACUGCAUAAUUUGUGGUAGUGGGGGACUGCGUUCGCGCUCUCCCCUG